rnacentral:rRNA from 1 species
GGUAACGCGGGGCAACCUGGCGACGAGUGGCGAACGGGUGAGUAAUNNNNCGGAACAUACCCUAGAGUGGGGGAUAACGUAGCGAAAGUUACGCUAAUACCGCAUACGAACUCAGGUUGAAAGUGGGGGAUCGCAAGACCUCAUGCUCAUGGAGUGGCCGAUAUCUGAUUAGCUAGUUGGUAGGGUAAAAGCCUACCAAGGCGACGAUCAGUAGCUGGUCUGAGAGGACGACCAGCCACACUGGAACUGAGACACGGUCCAGACUCCUACGGGAGGCAGCAGUGGGGAAUUUUGGACAAUGGGCGCAAGCCUGAUCCAGCAAUGCCGCGUGAGUGAAGAAGGCCUUCGGGUUGUAAAGCUCUUUUGUCAGGGAAGAAACGGUAGUUCCUAAUACGGACUACUAAUGACGGUACCUGAAGAAUAAGCACCGGCUAACUACGUGCCAGCAGCCGCGGUAAUACGUAGGGUGCAAGCGUUAAUCGGAAUUACUGGGCGUAAAGCGUGCGCAGGCGGUUAUAUAGGUCAGAUGUGAAAUCCCCGGGCUCAACCUGGGAACUGCAUUUGAGACUGUAUGGCUAGAGUGUGUCAGAGGGGGGUAGAAUUCCACGUGUAGCAGUGAAAUGCGUAGAUAUGUGGAGGAAUACCGAUGGCGAANGCAGCCCCCUGGGAUAACACUGACGCUCAUGCACGAAAGCGUGGGGAGCAAACAGGAUUAGAUACCCUGNUAGUCCACGCCCUAAACGAUGUCUACUAGUUGUCGGGACUUAAUUGUCUUGGNAACGCAGCUAACGCGUGAAGUAGACCGCCUGGGGAGUACGGUCGCAAGAUUAAAACUCAAAGGAAUUGACGGGGACCCGCACAAGCGGNGGNUGAUGUGGAUUAAUUCGAUGCACGCGAAAAANNUUACCUACCC